CGCAGGUACUCUGAGGAUCGGAAGGUAGAACGCAGUGAGAUCGUUAUAGCAACUGUGCUUUGGGCAAACGGUUGAACUCGUAAGAAGCGGCAGGCAGCGCUCACGUGUUGUGAUGUCACCGCCCUGAGCGAAGAGCAGGCUGGCGGCGAGGCUUCAUCUUCUCCGACCAAUAGCACUGUUUCAUUUGUUCCGAUAGCUCGCAUUCUCGUGCUCUCAUACAUGCUCGUUGCGUUCCGA